rnacentral:rRNA from 1 species
GAACCUGAGAGUUUGAUCCUGGCUCAGAACGAACGCUGGCGGCAUGCCUAACACAUGCAAGUCGAACGAAGGCUUCGGCCUUAGUGG